rnacentral:rRNA from 1 species
GCGCGCGCAGGCGGUUUCUUAAGUCUGAUGUGAAAGCCCACGGCUCAACCGUGGAGGGUCAUUGGAAACUGGGAGACUUGAGUGCAGAAGAGGAGAGUGGAAUUCCACGUGUAGCGGUGAAAUGCGUAGAGAUGUGGAGGAACACCAGUGGCGAAGGCGACUCUCUGGUCUGUAACUGACGCUGAGGCGCGAAAGCGUGGGGAGCAAACAGGAUUAGGUACCCUGGUAGUCCACGCCGUAAACGAUGAGUGCUAAGUGUUAGAGGGUUUCCGCCCUUUAGUGCUGCAGCUAACGCAUUAAGCACUCCGCCUGGGGAGUACGGUCGCAAGACUGAAACUCAAAGGAAUUGACGGGGGCCCGCACAAGCGGUGGAGCAUGUGGUUUAAUUCGAAGCAACGCGAAGAACCUUACCAGGUCUUGACAUCCUCUGCCACCUCUAGAGAUAGAGCGUUCCCCUUCGGGGGACAGAGUGACAGGUGGUGCAUGGUUGUCGUCAGCUCGUGUCGUGAGAUGUUGGGUUAAGUCCCGCAACGAGCGCAACCCUUGUUCUUAGUUGCCAGCAUUCAGUUGGGCACUCUAAGGAGACUGCCGGUGACAAACCGGAGGAAGGUGGGGAUGACGUCAAAUCAUCAUGCCCCUUAUGACCUGGGCUACACACGUGCUACAAUGGACGGUACAAAGGGCAGCAAAACCGCGAGGUCGAGCCAAUCCCAUAAAACCGUUCUCAGUUCGGAUUGUAGGCUGCAACUCGCCUACAUGAAGCCGGAAUCGCUAGUAAUCG